rnacentral:lncRNA from 1 species
CACCUUGAAGAUGCGCGCGUCGGCCUCGCUCAGGUCUUUGCGCGCGAAGUGCUUCCAGGGCACGCGGAAACAGGUGCGGGCCUCGUCCAGCCACUGCAGCCCCUCAUAGCAGCCGCUGCUGAUCUCUCCAAGGAGCCACUCUCCGAACAGCACGCGUGGGGCUGCCCUGCGGGUGUCCGGCCGCGGAGAGUCAGGGCCGGCUGCAGGGCGCUCGGGGACUGGCAUCUGGAGAGGGUGGGGAGGGCGAGUGGGAACCAAGGUGGUCCCCGUGACUGGCAGGAUAAAGGUGCAUUCCUUGUGGAUGGUUGAGGGAGUGGGUGGGAGUCUUGGGCACACUGGAUGGGGUGUCUGCUGGACAAGGGGUCAGUGACGGGGACUCCACAGCUCAGGGCAGAGUCUGGACUGGAGGAAAUGUGGGCAUCACCCUCGGGGGGUGGCAUUUGAAACCACACCCUGGCUGACGUCAUCAAAGACUGG